CUUCAGGAUCAAUGAAAUCUAGGGAUUCCUGUCAUCCUCAUUGUUUUUCAUCUCUCUUUUCUGUUUCUCCUUUUCUCACCUUAUUCUCUUCUCCUGCAGAGAGGUUUCCUCAGGAUAACUUGAGCCAAAGACGAGGCAGCUGCAGAUGCACAUCAUCCCACUUUAGCAAUCCCAGAGGAAAGCAAGGCUAUCAGUACACAUAAUUCCAGAGAAGAAUUUCAGUUGACCUCGUCUGGAUUCCAUGUUCAAUCCUUGGACUCAGAGGAAGAAGGAAAUGGAGAAGGAGCAGCAGACUUCCACUUUAAUCGCAUCAGCCUGGACUGAGUCACCUGGUCACACUUAGCAACAAGAGGGCCCCGGGAGCACAACCCUCUACGUCAGAUGAAGGAACCCUGAGUCAGCUCUUGUCCAGUUCAAGCCGGUUGAGACCACAGACCCCUCAAUUGGGCCUGCUCGAGUGUUCCACAGGUGACCUUUUGAGUCAGAGGGCUGAAAAUUCCAUUGGAUCAUGCUAACACCGCUGGUGUUCUGAACAUACACCCUGUCCAGAAGCAUGAAGCCCAUCUGCACUGCGCAGAGCAACCAUUCAAUCCUUCCUCACGUUUCUUACCCACAGUCGCCUUGCCCUGUACCUCUGCCGGCACUGUGCCCUUUACUCAUAAAUAUCCCAACCCUCUUGCCUUUGGGAGAGCAGACUUCGAGAUCUGUUCUCCUGUCUCAUGAGUAAACCCUCUCACUGCUGCAAACGUCAGCGUCUGUCAGGCAAAAGAACAUGGUUUGGUAACGAAAUGACAGGAAUCUAAAGAAUUAGCAACAAGCAUUUUUCAAAAGUGUUAAAGUGCUUAUAAUAAAAG